UUUUGAGGAUUUUGCCAGGACCUGCACACACCAGAACAUCAUUAUUAUCAAAUGAAAUUAACAACUCAUCAUCAAUAACACACAUUUUUAAGAUAAUAUCAUUAUGAACUCACUCUUCACUAUCGUACCUUAAUAAUACAGGGGCAAACUGGUGAUAACAACAGAGAAUAUUUAUAAGGUACAAAGAAAACUCAACAUACCUGGGCAGGAUAGCUAAUAUAUUUUAAUGCUUCGAUCCCCAUGGCGGGGCCAAUUGUG
rnacentral:misc_RNA from 1 species